GGCAGCACGUGUAUGAGGAAAGGAGCAGGUUUCUGAAACCUGGUCCAGGAUGCUACACAAAGUGCAUCACCAGGAAACAGCACAGGCAGGAUCAGACACACUGCAUUUCUGCAGACAGCUAGCUAUGGAAAUAUAGUUGAGCUGGCUUGGAACAGUGAUGCUGCACUCAGCCCAUGCACCAUUAGCUGCUGUGUGAUCAGAGUGAUCCAUGGUGACAGGACACCAAAACAUGAUUCAGUGCCCACAUUUGUACUGGUUUGGAAAAGAAGAAUAGUCACCGCAAGCAACCAAAGAAAAAUUGUAGCAAGGAACAUAAUUGGAAUUCUACAGUUUCUCAAGGCCUUGGUUUCCUCUGAAGAACCUGGAAUGGUCAAAGAUGCACCAGCUGGAGGCUGAGUGUUUUACAUGUAGCAUGGUCAUGGCAGACACCUUGCAAAUGGCAGCAGACACAGCCUUACAGAAACAGGAGGACAACCUGGAGAAGAACCAAGCUGGGGCAUUUGCUCAACAUCAGAUGUGCAGAUGUGGUGCUGAGGGACGUGGUUCAGUGGGAACUCGGCAGGAGAGGCUGAGACUGCAAGUGCUGGGAGCUCUGCUCUGAGCCAGCAUGGUCACACAAGGAGACGAGGAAGAAAGAGACGCCAUUCCAUGGGCCUCACGUACACCAACACUACAGCGCCCCGCACUCCUGCCAAGGCCUCUGUGGGAUGGCAG